UGCCAGACUCCUACGGGAGGCAGCAGUGGGGAAUAUUGCACAAUGGGGGAAACCCUGAUGCAGCGACGCCGCGUGAAGGAAGAAGUAUUUCGGUAUGUAAACUUCUAUCAGCAGGGAAGAAAAUGACGGUACCUGACUAAGAAGCCCCGGCUAACUACGUGCCAGCAGCCGCGGUAAUACGUAGGGGGCAAGCGUUAUCCGGAUUUACUGGGUGUAAAGGGAGCGUAGGCGGUUUAGCAAGUCAGAAGUGAAAGCCCGGGGCUCAACUCCGGGACUGCUUUUGAAACUGUUGAACUAGAUUGCAGGAGAGGUAAGUGGAAUUCCUAGUGUAGCGGUGAAAUGCGUAGAUAUUAGGAGGAACACCAGUGGCGAAGGCGGCUUGCUGGACGAUGACUGACGUUGAGGCUCGAAAGCGUGGGGAGCAAACAGGAUUAGAUACCCUGGUA
rnacentral:rRNA from 1 species